CUCGAAGGGUCAGAGAAGGUUUAAACAGGAAGCUAACAACCAAGAUGAGGCUUGAAGGAGAAAUGGCAGCAGCUAACAGACAAGGAAACGGAGGCUCGCGGUGAAAGGUGGAGCUGGAAUUCAAAGCCAGGAGGUGUGGCUCCAGACUAAAGGGGAAGGAGAGAGCCAGAUAAGAAGCCUUUAAGAAAGAGAGAAGCCUUUGCUAACUUCACAACAGGAAAGCACUCAGGAAAUUCGAGAACAAAACAAAUCUGCUCAUUGAGCCCAGCGUCUUCAAGCAAAUACGCUGAGGUACGCGACCGAAGCAAGACGACUCUGGACUAUUAAUGAGGCAGCUGCCUCUUAAACUGCAGGGGACGGAAGAAGUCAUUUACCUCUUUAAAAAAAUCUGAAUACAAGUGGAUAAUGAAUAUUCAUGAUCCCCUUCAGCUGCCUCAAGAGCCACCCUAGACAACAACCACGGGGCUUUACAGUCUUAAAAAGUUUCCCAAAGUUCUUUCUCUGCCUCCUCUCAGAAGGAGAGGGUGGGAGAGAUCAUUUAGGGCUUUUUGCCUCUUGGUUUUUCAAGUAUUUGCUUUUGGUCUGGGCUUUGGAUUUUUAUUUUUUCCUCUGUUUUCCUUUUUUUUUUUUUCUUUUUUGUUCUUAAGGAUUUCGGAUCAAAUCAAUUUUGCUCUUACCCUUUACAUCUUCCAUAAUUGGCAGCUUUUGUUUUCUUCCUCUUUGCUCUUUUUUUUCAGUCUCUGCUUGCUGUGGUCGGUCUCAGUGAGAGAGGUACUCAAGGAACAGAGAUAUAACAGACCCUCAGGCUCGUGGGAGGGGCUAAACUAGCCGGCGGUUUAGGAAGGAACCUCAAACUCCGUCUUUUUCAUUGACUGGAAACGACAGAUUGGCCUUGGCCAGGAAAGUCCGGCUGCUCAUUUCCGUAAAGCUACAAGGAGGCUUCCCCGGGUUGUAACUUUUUGUAUUCGUGUUCAAAUGUCUCACGCGCGCUCUCUUUCUCUCUCAUUGUUACAGAACCCUCCCCCCCCCCCUUGCAAAAUGUAUCUUGGCUGCAAGCAAAAAUGCUAUUUACUUACUGCAAUUUUGAAGCCCGAUAACAAGAAACUUGUUACCUUGAUACCCACUGGGAAAAUUGGGAUGCAAGGACAGUUCUUCCCGCCCCAGGAAGCUGAGCACUGCUGGUUCCUGAUGAGCACGCCCUUUACGGGGCUUAUUAGACCCGAGAAGCAGUGGGUCACCCAAGCGACGGACCAGGACUCCGAGGCAGGAGAAGUCCUGUAAUUGGAGGGAAGGCUUGAUGGAACAUCGAGGAGGCUGCUUGCUGGGAACAGCUGUAGCGCUGUACUGACCCAAGUUAUACACUUUUUUUUUUCCUUCCAAACUAUGAUUCCUGCCUCUGAAGUUUUCUGAGCAGGAACUGCCGCACCCAGGCUUUGCCAACAUGAGCCCAAUGCUGAUAAGACGCCGACCAAAAGAUUUUCAAAACUGUAUGUGAAAUUAUUUUGAAAUCAGGACAAAGCUAAUCCCUCUGAGAGGAAGGGGAGGGAGAGAGGGAGGAAACCAUUGACAUGCAAGAGAAACAUGGAUCGAUCGCCUCCCACGUGCCCCCAACCCGGGACUGGCCAGCAACCCAGCCAUGUGUCCUGACCGGGAAUUGACCAGCGACCUUUCAGCCUUCAGGACAACACUCAACCCACUCCAGUCAGGGCAGGAUGUUCUUAAAUUUAUUUAUGGAAUGUAAUAUUAGAUGUAAAAACUCGGAAAGUGUUAACUGGGACGAGAGUCUCAAGGUCUGGGUGGUUCUUACUAAAGGUUAGAAUGUAAAAUACCCAGCACGUUGCAGACAGAGCUGCAAACAGGACAAGCUGGGCAGGAACCCAAACUCAGCCCCACAGGUGCGGCCGACUGCAGAAGAGAAAUCAACAUGUAAUUCAGUGUGCAUGUGUGUGUGUUGGCAAAAGUAGGUUCACAGCUGUUCGUAUGGAAAAGAACACAGUAAUUAAUAAACAGGAAUACAAGAGUUAACUCUGGCGCUGGCCAGUGUGGCUCAGUUGGCAGAAGCAUCAUCUCGUAGUUGGAAUGUUGUGGGUUCUGUUCCCCGUCGGGGCACAGGCCUAGGUUUCAGGUUUGAUCCCCUGCGUGUACAGUCCCAGUUGGGGUGCCUGCAUUCCCUGGUCCAGGUGUGGAUGGGAGGCAACCAACUGAUGCUUCUCUCUCUCUAAAAAAUAGUGGGGAGAAACGUCCUCAGGUGAGGAUUUUUUUUUUUAAAAGAACAACUCUGUUUUGCAUAUUAUAAACCUACUUUUGCCCAUAUACAAGGUUUGUCCACAAAGUAUCCAGCUAUGUAAAUGUGGGGGAAAAUAAAGACAUUUAUUGAAGAAAAUACUAGAAACUUGUAUAUAGAACAGCGACACCCCAAUUCCCUUCAAAGUAGGCCCCUUUGGACCUCACAUAGUUCUCCCAGCAUCUCUUCCACUGUUCAAAACACUCUUGAGGAAAUCUGGUUCAUUGGUAACAGUUUGAAUCAAGUCAUUAGCAACUGUAGCACAAUGUUCCUUCUGCUCUGGGAGCAUCAUUCCUUCUGGUACAAGCCACGGAACAAAUUUUGCCACAACACAUUUUGUAUCAAGAUCCUGCGUAAAAUCUCCAUAUCAGCUUCUAGUUUUCACACUGCCAGUGGCUGAUCUUUGUUGAUUCCAGCCCGUACAUGUUCAACAUUCUCAGGUGUUCUGCUUGCUGCAGGCCUUCCAGAACGUGGAUCAGUUUCAACAGAUUCUCGACCAUCUUUGAAGCGUUUGUGCUGCACUCUUAUUUGCACUGCACUCAUUGCAUCAUCCCCGAAAGCCUUUGCAUCAUCCAAAUAGUUUCUGUGAAGGAAUGUUCAAGCUUAACGCAAAAUUUGAUGCAGAUUCAUUGCUCUAAGUUUUGGAUGUGAACCCCCUAUGUCCUUUACUUGCUGCAAGUAAAUAAAACUACCUAAGGACAACCGUGUCUCAUUCUUAAAGGGAAUGCCCCAAGUGGUGAAACCCUUGAGUUCAGUAACAGAAGGACCAUACGCACAGUGUGGUUUUCUGUCCAGCGUGCAGUUCCCGUGGUGUGGUUUGAUGACUUGAGGCACUCUCCGUACACCCAACAGCGCCCAAGCAGGCAUUGCGCAAAUUGGGCAGGAUGGUGAUGGUAGUUUCUGCCUCACUGGAGGUCAGGGCUGGGUGGUUGGCCUGACGAGCGUUAUGGUCUCUACAUUGUUUCUAUUUCUCCAUUGAAACAGAAGUCUAU